rnacentral:pre_miRNA from 1 species
AAAAAGCAAACUCUAGAUUUUCGUGUCCAACUUUGGCUGUCAGUUUUAUAUAAAAUUUUUUUAUAAUUUGUAUUUUCAUUGUUGUUAGAUAAUAAAACAUGAUUAAUAUUUUAUGCGUGAUUUGUCUAUUUAUUUUUUUAUAAUUUUUUCAAAUAAGACAGACAAUCAAACGUUAAACACGGAAACCAGGGUUUUUCUUUUU